GAAAUCAUCUAAAAUUUGAAAGAAUUUUUCAUUUAUUUAUCAUUGUCAGUCUGAAAUAUACCAUAGCAUUUUCAGGACUUCAAUCGAAUUGCCGUUGAAGUUUCAUUAACGAUCUGAAAGAGUUAUGAGCUCACAACAUGCGAUGAAGCCUUCAUAAAUUUUGAUUGUCUUAAAAGCUUGUAUAGAAGUCAUGUCAUUCCUGCUAAUGAUUCUUUAUUGCUGAAUAAUUAAUGGCAAAAUCA